rnacentral:lncRNA from 1 species
AGCUUGCCUUCCCUGAACCACAGCCCAGAUGACUCAGAAAGCAGAUGAAGGUGAGGCAACCUAGAGGAAGAAAAGAAGUUCCAGAAGCUGUUUCAAUAAUCAUCAGGCUCACAACAGAAGAAUGUUGUUCCACUUUCAUGGCAGCAUUCAGAGAAGAAAAAAAGAAUCAAACUCGUUCCUUCUGAGUUGUGGGUACUACCCAGUCAACCAUGCUGUCCAAAUCCUGCCUCUCAAAUCGCUUUGUAAUAUAUACCAUUCGCCCUGUCUGGAGUCUUCAAUGACAGCUAUUCAUGUGUUCCAAGUUGAUCAAAUGCAGGCUGCAGUGAUGGCUCAGCACUACUUGCCCUUACCAAAUGAGCAGAAAAUGUUUCUUUCCCAUCAGACUGGUGUACAAGCUAUACUGUUAGGCUUUUAAUGGAGUUCUUCUCGCUAGAAGAAACAUUUUCACCUAAAGAACAGGAGCAAGUUUGACCUGCUGGGAUAUAGAGAGCCUUGGUUCUGAAUAAUGGGGAUAAACCAAAAAAAGGAAAGCUU